CAGUAGCCACGGUAAUACGUAGGGCGCAAGCGUUAUCCGGAAUUAUUGGGCGUAAAGAGCUCGUAGGCGGUUUGUCGCGUCUGCCGUGAAAGUCCGGGGCUCAACCCCGGAUCUGCGGUGGGUACGGGCAGACUAGAGUGAUGUAGGGGAGACUGGAAUUCCUGGUGUAGCGGUGAAAUGCGCAGAUAUCAGGAGGAACACCGAUGGCGAAGGCAGGUCUCUGGGCAUUAACUGACGCUGAGGAGCGAAAGCAUGGGGAGCGAACAGGAUUAGAUACCCGAGUAGUCCCUGUCUCUUAUAC
rnacentral:rRNA from 1 species